GGGCACAUACCGUCGAUGGAAGAAUAUCUUCGAAACGGAAUAAUCUCAACCGCAGCACACACCAUUGUUCUUCCCAUUUCAUAUCUCAUGGAAUCUUGUUUUCCUCAACACAAACUCAAACCCGGAAAUUAUGAUAACAUAACAACAUUGCUCAUGACCAUUACCCGACUCCUUAAUGAUCUACAGAGUUACCAGAAAGAGCGAGAACAAGGAAAGAUCAACUCCGUGCUGCUCAACAUGAGGAGUCAUUGUAGUUUUAAGAUAGAGGACUCGAUUGCUUAUAUUGAAAAGAUCAUUGAAUCGAAGAGGAGAGAAUUUGUGGAGUGUGUCCUAAUGGAUGAACUCAGUGAUUUGCCUAAACCGUGCAAAGAUAUACACAUGUCUUUUUGCAAAGUUUUUUAUAUGUUUUUUAACAAGAAGAAUCGUUAUGAUUCGGACACGGAGAUGCUUCAAGACAUUAAGAAGGCUCUUUACGAUCCCGUUAACAUUCGUAGACUCUCCUAGCUUGAUCCAGCGAUCUAGAGAAUUCUGCACUAUAAAUUUAUGUAUGCGUUAUUUGAUCAAAAAAAAAAAAAAAUUAUGUAUGCGUUGUUGAAUAAUCAUCCUCAUGUGGCAUUUAAGAUCUUUUUACUUGACACAAUGAAAUUAUUUUAAGGCUC